GGUAGCUAGGGUACCCAGGGAGGUUGCUAAGCGGAUGAUAUGUGGUUGCUAAGGUACCCAUGGGUGUUGCUAUGUGGUUGCUAUGGUACCCGGGGUGGUUGCUAGGGUGUUGCUUUGCGGUUACUAAGGUACCCGGGGCGGUUGUUAAGGUGUUGCUAUGCGGUUGCUAAGGUAGUCGGGGUGGUUGCUAGGGUGUUGCUCUGUGGA